rfam:Myotis brandtii contig291256, whole genome shotgun sequence.
GCUGGUGUGGCUCAGUGGAUAGAGCAUCAGCCUGUGGACUGAAGAGUCACGGGUUUGAUUCCGGUCAAGGGCA